UAGCAGAGGUCUCAAGCGUUGUUCGGAUUCAUUGGGCGUAAAGGGUGCGUAGGCGGCGCGGUAAGUCGGGUGUGAAAUCUCGGAGCUUAACUCCGAAACUGCAUUCGAUACUGCGGUGCUUGAGGACUGGAGAGGAGACUGGAAUUCAUGGUGUAGCAGUGAAAUGCGUAGAGAUCAUGAGGAAGACCAGUGGCGAAGGCGGGUCUCUGGACAGUUCCUGACACUGAGACACGAAGGCCAGGGGAGCAAACGGG
rnacentral:rRNA from 1 species